AUUCUCUAUGAGGUAGCCAUUUUUUCACGUGAAGGUGAGCGGAUUCGGCUCUAUCAAGAUCAAUCUAUUUAUAACCUAUUUAUUAAAUUUGCAGUUUAUGCCUGCUAGGUCAUUUAUGGAGAGUGAUGUACAUGCAGAUAAUACAAGGGUGCAUUUCUCUUACUGUCAAGAAGAAGGUAUAUUUCUCUUAACAUAAUAAUGAUACUGAAACUUUUUGCCCUUUCUAAAUGUAAAAUCGAGUCAUUGAUGUCGCAUUGUUCUUUGGGUCUGAUUGUCCUCAUAAACUGACACCAUGAUAAGAGAAGAUUCAUGUGAAUUAUAAAGCAUCUUAGCACCACUUUUCUAUUUAUUAAUGUCACUGAAAGUAUGCUUUCUCAAGUGUUGAUUCACAACUGCAUAUGACAUCUCUCAUAGUAAUGCGUUACGGACACCAUCUGAAUUAGUAAUGAUAUAUAAUUUCAGUAGCCCACAUGACCACAAUUUGUUAACCUCUCUUUUGCAUGUGCUGGCAAUUUUAAUUUUGCUAUGAAGAUGUAGAAUUGACUUUUGUAGAAUAAAACAAGGUUCCAGAGGUACGUAAGCAAUUACACUGUAAAGCAAUUGACAUUUUCCAUUCUCUGGAUGCACUUUAAGUGAAGACUAUACUUCGUACAGCGGGCUGCUAUUCUUGUUAGUGUUACAAAUUCAGUUCUCAACUUCUCAUAUGAGAAUGUGUUGACUAAGAUCCCUCACUGCCUUGUACAUCUUUCAUUUGUGACUAAUUUUGUGUUCAUGCUUUCUUUAGAUUUAGGUGGAAUUCUGUUCACCGAACAAAUCUUCCUUUUCGCGAUUGGAGACAAGGAGUUGAGUGGAAGGUUUUGGUUCGGCAGAUUGUUCUUCACUAUAUUAUGUCAGAUUUCGUCAUCAAAAUAGUCUUCUGCGGAGAAAUGGCACAAUCUUCUCAUGCCAUUUCGUGGGAGUAACACAACUGCACAAGUAGCAUAGAUGCAGCGAGGCCACUCUAUGACGGAGUGGAGCGGAACACUGGAUGGGUUCAAUAAAUUGAAGAUUAAAGAGUGCAUGAUAGCAUGAUAUAACUCAUGUCCAUGGUAGGUAAACCUUCUGAUUGCAUGGUUUUCUUUAAGUGACCCACUAGAUAAGAUUUGAUUAUUUCAACCUUGAACCGGUGGGUUUCUACGGAACUAUGUAUGAUUUAAACAAUGGUUGAAAUUAUUUAUCUGAGUUUGUUUCAAACAAAUAAAUUUGUAUUGGAAGACAAUUUCAUACUUUCAAUAUGGAUACUGAAGGAUAUAACUAUAUUAUGGGUGAUAUAUAUGUUGAUAGUACGAUUUCAA